rnacentral:lncRNA from 1 species
UUAAUUUUUUUUUUUUUUUUGCCAGAACUGUAUCUAUCUGAAAAGAAGGUUUACUCCAAAUCAAAACAUUUUGACAAAGAUUUCUUAACGUGCAAUUUCAGUAAGGUGCUGCAUGACACUAGCACGCACUUGCCAGGGAUCGGAACCGGUUUUAAAGUAAGCCAUCCAGAGGUCAGAAGCAGUCAGUGGGACAGCCUCUGGUGGUGCCUCUUGGUGCUGUUCUCCAGCAAGCUCCAGCAAACUGCUUUCCUGCCGACAUCAGCCUUUAGCAGGGAAACGUGCUUGCUGAUACUUGGCUCACUGCCUGGCAAAGCCACUUGUGAGUCCAAAUUCCUUUGGCAUAGUGUGAUAAUACGGCGGUCGUUGCUUUAUACUUAGAAAUAAAUGCUGAGUAGCAUCUAAUGUAAUCUUUUUG